GUCACUUGUCAGGCAGCAGAAGGUAAUCGGGGCGCAGGCUUCCGUGCACCCUUUCUAGUCCAUCCAGAAACCUCCUUGCACCGGGACAGAAUUUAUGGACAGUGUAUGUAUCACUUGGGGCUCUUAAAGGACUUUGGAGAGCGGUCAGUGGCCUUUAGGAAUGAAUUUGAACUUCCGUCAUGUGAGAAUAAAGCCCUGUUUGGAGAGAGUGAUGCCAAGAAAUUCGAAGCGUCUCACAGAACAGCCAGCUCCACGCUUUGCUCACACACUCGGGUCAAUAAAAAGCCUUUUGGCAUGCCCCUCCCCCA